rnacentral:rRNA from 1 species
AACGUAGGUUCCGAGCGUUAUCCGGAUUUACUGGGCGUAAAGCGCGUUCAGGCGGUUUGGCAAGUCGGGCAUGAAAUCUCUCGGCUCAACCGGGAGAGGUUGUCCGAUACUUCCAGACUUGAGGGCAGUAGAGGGUGGUGGAAUUCCGGGUGUAGCGGUGAAAUGCGUAGAUAUCUGGAGGAACACCGGUGGCGAAGGCGGCAUCCUGGACCAACACUGACACUGAGGAGCGAAAGCCAGGGGAGCAAACGGG